rnacentral:lncRNA from 1 species
UCACAGUUAACGGAUACACAUAUGACAACAAAAAAAGAAAGAAAGAAAAGUAAAAAACCAAACCUGUCAGCGUAUCUUAAGGUGUUAAGAGUGUGCUCACACGAUCCAGAGCUCGGAGAUAUGCAAGAUAUCAUCACAGUACGAGAGUUCCCCAUGAAAGAGUCCCUGAGAACUUCAGUCAACUUACUCCCUCUAAAAGGAAUGUGACCUUGAUCAUUAUCCAAAGCUCUAAUACACUCUUUUAACGCCAGCAAGCUCUUGUUGAUCUCUGCUCCUUCCAAUCUCGUCUGCUUGUCAUUGUCCGUUGUGUCUAGUUCCUCACAGUUAACGGAUACACAUAUGACAACAAAAAAAGAAAGAAAGAAAAGUAAAAAACCAAACCUGUCAGCGUAUCUUAAGGUGUUAAGAGUGUGCUCACACGAUCCAGAGCUCGGAGAUAUGCAAGAUAUCAUCACAGUACGAGAGUUCCCCAUGAAAGAGUCCCUGAGAACUUCAGUCAACUUACUCCCUCUAAAAGGAAUG